rnacentral:rRNA from 1 species
GUGAGGAAUAUUGGACAAUGGGCGCAAGCCUGAUCCAGCCAUGCCGCGUGCAGGAAGACGCAUCUAUGGUGUGUAAACUGCUUUUGUACGGGAAGAAACACUCCCUCGUGAGGGAGCUUGACGGUACCGUAAGAAUAAGGAUCGGCUAACUCCGUGCCAGCAGCCGCGGUAAUACGGAGGAUCCAAGCGUUAUCCGGAAUCAUUGGGUUUAAAGGGUCCGUAGGCGGUUUAAUAAGUCAGUGGUGAAAGCCCAUCGCUCAACGAUGGAACGGCCAUUGAUACUGUUAGACUUGAAUUACAAGGAAGUAACUAGAAUAUGUAGUGUAGCGGUGAAAUGCUUAGAUAUUACAUGGAAUACCAAUUGCGAAGGCAGGUUACUACUUGUGGAUUGACGCUGAUGGACGAAAGCGUGGGGAUCAAACAGGAUUAGAAACCCGGGUAGUCC